GGGUUCUGGGUGCACCUGUACUGUCCCGCCCCUGCCUUGGCCUUGACCCCAGCCGCAGGGGCCACGCGCCCCACAUGCCCCCUGCUCCUCGCCCAGCCUGUCUCUGCACCUACUUGUGCUCUGGGGGGACCCAACCCCACGCAACCCCCGGGCUGCUCUGGAAGCCAGGGUGGCUCAAGGCUCGGUUCCACCCACCCCCGCCCCACAGCAGCCACAGUCUGGGAGAAGGAAGGUUUAAAAAUAAAGCAUUGUAAAUACCCGUGUUUCCUGCAAAUAGAACCAGCCCCUGGAUCCCCUUGGCCUCCCGGGCAGCCGGGCCCAGACAGCUCCUCUGAGGGGGGUGGGGGCCACAGGGAGGGCGUGUCUGUGCGCCCCAGUUCCCAGCUGCCGUGUGAGUCAGCCAGUGCGACAGGGUGUCUGUCACCGCCUGUCCAGGGGGUGACAGGGUGUGUGGGCUGGUAACAGACAGUGUCCAGAGGUGCUGGGUCGCGGGAGGCGACACACCGGUGUGUGAGGCUGUCAGGACGGAAUGAACGCGGAGAAGCUGAGCCACAUUCAAGAUGUACCCGCCCAAGGCCGCACAGAGCAGACACCUGUCCUUCCCAUCCUGGACCACGACCGGCGGCUCCAACGCCGCCACUUCCGUGACACCUGCUCAUUCUCGUGCCCCCACCCUACCUGCAAGCUCACAUCCUGGCCUACUCCUGGGUGGCUGUGCGCAGCCCCAGGCGUCACCCACCCGGGUGCGCCCCAGUGCGGGGGGGUGAGACUGUGUCUCCUAUCACCGCGUAGGCGGCAUAGUAGUGCAAGCUGUACAGGCCCCUUGGGGUGUGUGUGCGCGUGUGUGUUGGCGGGGAGGGGAGGGAGGGGAGGGGAGGGGGAGCCCCUAGGAAGGUCCCCUCCCAGACCAAUCCCAGGGCUGCUGGGAUCAGAGGAAUGCAGGCGGCCUGGGCCGGAGCCGGAGCGAGGAGGCCCCAAGAAAUCAGGCGGCAGGAGAGAGAAACCAGAGCACCGGGCCCCGGGAACACAGGCG
rnacentral:lncRNA from 1 species